GAUGAACGCUAGCGGCAGGCUUAACACAUGCAAGUCGAGGGGUAUAGUUCUUCGGAACUAGAGACCGGCGCACGGGUGCGUAACGCGUAUGCAAUCUACCUUUUACAGAGGGAUAGCCCAGAGAAAUUUGGAUUAAUACCUCAUAGUAUGUGAGAAUCGCAUGGUUUUCACAUUAAAGUUCCAACGGUAAAAGAUGAGCAUGCGUCCCAUUAGCUAGAUGGUAAGGUAACGGCUUACCAUGGCGACGAUGGGUAGGGGUCCUGAGAGGGAGAUCCCCCACACUGGUACUGAGACACGGACCAGACUCCUACGGGAGGCAGCAGUGAGGAAUAUUGGACAAUGGGCGCAAGCCUGAUCCAGCCAUGCCGCGUGCAGGAUGACGGUCCUAUGGAUUGUAAACUGCUUUUGUACAGGAAGAAACACUCCCUCGUGAGGGAGCUUGACGGUACUGUAAGAAUAAGGAUCGGCUAACUCCGUGCCAGCAGCCGCGGUAAUACGGAGGAUCCAAGCGUUAUCCGGAAUCAUUGGGUUUAAAGGGUCCGUAGGCGGUUUAAUAAGUCAGUGGUGAAAGCCCAUCGCUCAACGGUGGAACGGCCAUUGAUACUGU
rnacentral:rRNA from 1 species